AGAACACUGCAAUAUAAAGCAAUGGCAAGGUUGUUGUUGUUUUUUUUUUUUUAAUCACAGUGACUUUGAUUUAAAAAAAAAAGAAAUCGUGUCAUAUGCCGAUAAGAUCAAGUCUAAUGAGAGUUACCCACUUAUUUCCAGGGCCAUUCUGGAGAAUAACUCAAAGUCUUACAGGGAAGAAAGGUAGCAAUAGAAAAACAAACAAACAAACAAACAAACAAACAAACAAAAGCCCAUGCAGUGUAACAUUCUGGCAGGAGCCCUGUGUGGUGUGUUGCUUCGUACAGGAGCAUGGGAAGAUCCUGACAAUUUAACCUGAAAACUGAUUCUGAAAUUACUAUGACCAUUUUACUGAGGGAAGUUCAGCUACGAAAGCUUAAAAACACAUCUUCAAUGAAAUAUCUCCCAAUUCACUGACUGGUAUAAACUACAUUUUCAAGAUGGCCGCGCCCAACUUUUUCAAGAUCCUAUUUAAGGAAACUCUCCAUCUAUUUCUUUAAGGGAAAAAGCUCUCAUUUUUCCAGCCCAUUGGAAAGAGGUGAAAGAGGCAAGGAAAAAACCCCUGAAAAGGUUAGCUGGUGGGUGAGUCUGUGCCGACCUCAGGAGGGAGGCAUUACCUUUCAACUUUGAUCUGUGGGUUCACUGGACUGUUUUAAAUGUGACCCUGUCUGACCACAUCUAGGGAACUUGACUUUGAUUUCAGAUUAGGUUUCUUAGAAAGGUUUAAGAAUCAAAGUGCCCAUGGAGUCUGGACAAGAAUUUGACGUGACAGCUUCUUGUAGAACAGGCAAGUGGCUGGCCCCAAUGGGUGCACUGAGACAUUCAACAUCCAAGGCUUCAUUAGCAAUUAUGAGUCUUUACUCAGCCAUCAUAAACCGAUGGCUCAGAUCUUUACAGACAUUUUAUUUCCCAAUAUAAUUGUCUUGUUUUCUAGAGAGGAGUAAAUUUAAGAAUGGAGGGGAAAAAAAGCAAAGUCUCAAUGAAAAUAGAUUUCACAUUAUAUUUCUCUUGAUUUCACAUUUCUUAUCCCCACCCCCUGCAAUAACUUUGUUAUUUUUUGGCUUAAAUUACCAAAGUGCCCUUUUAUGCCUAAUAGACAAACAGCUCCAUGUAAACUAAGGAGCCAAGUACUAAUUUUAUCAUUAUUACCAGACAUCCUCAAAGUUAUACCAUUCAUAAAUGUGCCAAAAAUGUUUUUCUGUUAAAAAACAAACCAUUAUAAAAUUUUCCACUGGAGCUGGUAGAGAACUUAAAAUAUGUAUAUUAGUGCAUUUGGCUUUAACUUUUUACUUUAAGAUUAAAAUAUUCAUGAAAAUAUGAUUUGGAGUAGCCAUUAUGGAAAUCUUAAUAUUUUACAAGUUGGAAGGAGCAAGCCUAGUUGGAAUGUCUGUAUCCAAACAAAAACUACAACAGUUAACCCAUAGUGUUUGGGUACAUGAAGAGUACUGGGUAUCAUUCUUAUAGGCUGCUUGUAAUAAAGUUCUUAGAAGUUCAGUGUCUGAGAAUGGCUAAUGACUUGCAUAAAGAUAAUCUCUACUGUAAGCAAUCAACUGAUCAUUUUCAAUAGGAAAACAUGAAGUUAUAACUACAAUUUGGGGUAAGUUCAUUGGCUUAAUGAACAGAACAUCUAUUGUGUACAUGUCCUGUGAUAGAAAUCAUAUGACACACUAGAGAUAAGGUAAUAACAAAAUUGACAAAGCCCUUGACCUCAGGGAGCAUUGAGACAAGUCAUGGAAAUGAACAUUGUCCAAACUAUGACUCAUUAUUGCGUAGUGUGACUCUUCACUGAGUUGCCUUCUAAGAAACAAAUAGUUGGAGUAAGUCACAGAGAGCUCCCUGAGGUCUUCUGCAGAGCUACACCAGGGGAGCCUGAAGGUCAUAAAUAUGAGGCUGAAUUAUAUAUAUGGCACAUGAUGGGAAAUCUUAGUGGAGACUUAAUUCAUGAUAAGGAAUAUUCUAACUUUUGUUUUGAAAAUUCUACCUUGACUAAAGAGGCAAGUACUAGACAUGAAUACAAGGUCAGUGGAAAUGAAGCCACCAUAUUUGUGUUGGCAAGAGCCACUGUGGUGGUGGGGGCUUGGAUGAAUAUAAGAACAGAGGUUCUUAACCUGUGGGUUGUCACAUAUCAUAUAUUUACAUUAUGAUUAACAACAGUAGCAAAACCAAAAUAAUUUUACAUUGGGGUCAUCUCAACACAAGGAACUGAAUGCCAUUAGGGAGGUUGUGAGCCGCUGGUAUAUACUUGGGUGGGGAUAGUUGGUAGGUUAAGGUUGUGCCUUUUUUUUUAAAAUAAAAGUGAUAGUGCCUUAUGGGUCAGCAGUAGCAUGAAAGGAAGAGGGCAAAAGAUGACAUUCAGAUUUCUGGUUUGGGCAGCUAAACAGAUGGUAAUAUUUGCUACCACUUUAAAGGUGGUACACCCUGGUAGGAAAAAAAAACACUGAGCAUCAAGAGUGUUUUUAUUUGUAAGAAAUGGGUCUGAUACAAAGCAUAUGGAAUAGUAGGUGGUAACAUUUGCUUGACUAGAGUAAAAAAGGAUUAGUUUUUUAAAUGUUCAUCAAAUAAACAUGGGUGAAAUUAGUGCAAAUACAUCCUUAGGAAUAGUCAUCUCAGUGUGCAAACUGUACAAACAAGCCAUCCCUCAAUGUGAAGUAGGGAAAGAGAGUUCACGAGAGAGUUAAUAAUCUGCCAGGGUCAUUAGAAAACAGGGUCUAAACAUUGGAAUUAGAAGAGCCUCAACAUUCUCACAUUCACUAUGUGCCAGACACUGCCCUAAGAGGUUAUCAUCCCUAAACCUUGUAUAGUUUCGCUAUCCCAACCUCCCAAUACACUGUGAUAACAGAAACAGGUCCUGUCACUCGAGAUAAGUCAAGUGCUAUCUACAAAACGGUGCAACCACAAUGCCUUGAAUUCUGUUUCACGCACACUGCUCCAGUACAAGUAGAUAGAUUUCUACUGGGAACAAUGACGGUGCAACAAUAAAAAAAAAAGUAUUUUACUGUCAAUGACGCAUGCGAGGCCUGCUAUUAACGUCAUUGCCAAGGAGCCAGUGAUGAAGAGACUAAGUUCUAAACAUGAAACCUUCGAUAUAUAGAUUAACUACCCCCAUCCACCUCCAUACACAUUUGCUUUGGAUGAGACUUGAAUAGAAGUGAUGAAAGAAAGAAAAAAUGUUACUUUAGCAUGAUGCACCACACAUGUUAGUCGCCUGCAAUUACUAAGAUCUCAAAGUGAUUUGGAAAUCCUCACGGAAUCUCCUCUGACAGCAAACACUCUUCAUUCCAUGUUUUCUAAAUUACCAUGGAAGAAAAUCAGCUGUUCACAGAAAUACUCAAAUACCAGGCUCACUAAUGGGUCUAUUAUGACUUCAUAAAGGAGCUGUCACCCUGAUAAUCAAAUAAACACAGGUUCCAGCUCUUACAUUCCAAGGGAAAAUGCCAUCUGAUCAUUUUGUCUUUUCCCGGGGAAAAGAUGACAUUUACAUCAGCCAGCGUCACCAACACACAGUAGUUACAUCUAGUACGUCAACCAGUACUCGUUAUUUAGUGGCUACAUAUCUCAAAGUUCUUGCUCCUGGGAACAUUUAAUUCCUUACAUUUGUAGCCGAAAUAGCCUCCUAGUUUGCCUGGAAUACUGACUUUUUUCUCUUGGGAAAUGACUCAACAUAGUUACGAGACUGAUUCUUCCUUGUCCCAACCCCCACCCCAAAUUUGAGCAAGAGUCCAAACAUCAUUAUCACUGCUUGAUACUUAGAAGCACUGAGGUCAGCCAGUCUGAAUGCCUGAGAUUUCAAGCUUUUGUUUCUGUGAGGCCAUUCAAAGGGCAUGCUGGAAGCUGGGCUGUGGUCAGAAGUGCUGACGUUUUCCACUCACUACUGUCUGAAAAUGUGAAAUCUCUGCAUUUCAGCUCAGCUGGUGGGAAGGAAACUCAAGAUGAAGGCAGAGUGUUCUUCGUUUCUCCCCAAAGGCUUAAAGCUCUCUAGGGACGUAGUUCUAAACGUGAGGAUGGAUGUGGGUCACUGGUCCUGGUCUUGGAGGAUCCAGGCAUUUUUUAGUUUGAACUUGGGCUAAGGGUCAAGCUUCCUUAACUAUCAAGAAGUCUGCAAGCCACGCUGGUGUACACGUCUGAUGGAGAGGGAUUCAACGGUGAACGCGGAUGAGCUGUGACACUGAGGAGGAAAUGGACAUCCCUAUGAUGAUGGAGUUCCUGAUGGACUUGGCAAGUUCAUCACAAAAAACUCAGAAGAAAGAAGAGGGGACUAGCGGAGGUAGAGAAUAACAAGGAUUGGGAGACCAAGAGGAUGUCAUGUGCUGGAGCCAAUUAGCAAAAGAGUGCGAAUCUUCUAAGUGGUUCUGGCAGUCAGAUGGCUAACAUCAUACUGAGGAAGGGAAUGAGGAUGGUGUAAGGACCCACUCUGCCUGCAAUAAAAGUGUUUAUGAAAGCAGCUGGAAGAAGUAGUGGGUGAGAUACAGACUCAAAAACCUUAAUCUCCUUGUUCCAAAGGUAAGUAGAAACGUAUCUGAGAAAUGGGCUAGGGGAAUGGCUCAAUGAUUAAAACACUUGCGUUACAAACAUGAGAACUUGUAUUUGAAUCUCCAACAUGAAUGUAAAUGUUACUUGGGCAUGGUAGCUCACCAGUGAUUCUAGGGCUCAGAAAGAGGAGACAGAGGAUCUCUAGGGCAAGCUGGCUAGCCAAUAUUUGAUGUAUUGGAGAAUUCUGGGUUCAAUUGAGAGAACCUGACUCAAUGAAGAAGGUGGAGAGCAACAGUAGAAGACUUGGGGCUCUGCACAUGUCCAUAUCUGUGCAGGAACAAACCCAUGCACAUGUACCCACACAUAUUUGGAUAUGUACACCCAUGCUCCUGUGCACCACACGCAUAUGCCUGGAAGGAAGGAGGAAACAUAAGGGUCUGAAUUAGUAGCUCAGCUAUGAUGGGCAAGCUAUGACUGGUGGGAGUGGUAACCAAACUUUCCUGAAACUUGAAAGCGGAGUGUGAGCAAAGGUCUUGGGCUGGAGCCAUCAAGGCGAUCUGGAGAUGUUCGUCAAUUAGCAGCUGUCAGGUCUUGGCAGUCCAGCGUGGUGUGGCCUAUGUUAGCAUCCAAGAUCUGGGAAGCUUCAGUUACAACUGAAUGCUUUUGUAGGAAAAGCAAUUCAUCAAUUUAUCUCUAGACUCUAGUGUUUCCUGCUGAACUGCAUCUCUCUCAGGCCAAGUACCAGUCGGUCAGCUAAAAGACAUAGAAACGGUGUGUCUUUUCUGGUCUCCUUCAUUCCACACUGCUUUCUCAGUCUAUCUGGCACUUUUUCCAUAUUGGGAAUACACUGCUUGGUGUAAUGGGAGCAUCUUUAUACUUAGAAGCUAUAAAAUAAAGCAUAUAGGUGGCCCCCCAAUGUCCCUGGACUCUGAGUCCACAGAAGCAACUAACCUUGGAUCAAAAAUAUCUGGGGGAAAAAUCACACCUGCACAUAACAUGUAGAGACCUUUUUCUUAUUAUUCUCUAAGCAGUGCAGACAUAUUUGUAGAGAAUUUAUAUUGAUUUAUAGUAUUAGGAAAGACACGCACAGAUUGUAUUAAAAAGUGCUACGCUAUUUCUUACAAAAGACUUGCACUUCUCCAUCUACAGAACCUGGAGGUUCCUGCAAGGGGUCCUGGAACCCUCACACAACUCCAAGAUACUAAGGGAGAACUGAAAUCUCCCCUGUGUUUUAGGAAGCAGUCUGGGUAACCAAGUGGCAUCCGGGUUCUAACACUAAUGCAGUAUGCAUACAUAAUUGAGCCUGUUUGCAGAGAUCCAUGUCUGAACAGAUGGGCAAAGGUCAUUGAGUCAGAUGGUCCUCCAAUUUCACACUACUCUACUGAGAGAUCAAACCACACUCCUUCCCUCUUAAUGCUCCAUUCAAAUCCUUCAUCUCUUCUCCUUCUGCCCACAUUUCAGUUAAAAAAAAAAACAAGGUUAAAAAAAUGCCACAGCGAAUGAGAUGAGAGGAGAAGAAAACAGACAUAUACAAAAAUAAACAACUUGACUAAGGGAAGGACUAGGAUUAUAUUUAAUUUUUUGUUUUGUUUUACAAAUUUAAAUCAUUCCUGUACUGCUCUAAGAUUUAUUGAAGAGGGUGUCCAAAGACUAAGGAAGAAGAGUAUGGUUAGGUAAGUGCCAUAUUUCCCUCUGUUGCCUACCUAAAGACAUUCAACACUGCCAACAUCUGCUUGCAUUGGUGUUCAGCAGAGAUGUGAAGUCAAAGCCACUGUGCGUAUCACAUGACUAGGUUUCCAACAGAAGUUCUCUUUUCUCUCCACAUGUCUGUUCCUCCUAUAGGCAGUUCUAUUUUAAACAACAGGAAUGCUGUCCUUCCGUUUUCCUAGUCCAUAAAACCUGCAGUCAUCUGACUCCAUUAUUUCCUUUUUAUUCUAUAUCCCAACUCUCAGCUAAUCCUUUAGUUCUACCUCAAAGAUUUUUCAAUGCCUCAUCAUCUCCAAGCACAGUUCUCCAAGCCACAGUUCAUUUUAGUUAUCGCAGUGUCUUCCUAGAAAGGGAUUUCCCCUGCUUCCUUCCCCAAAUUCAGAAGCCAGAGUCACCCUUGUAAAAUAACUCGUGUUCCUGUUCAACCCAUCCCACUCCACCCUAGAGGCUUCUUCUCUCUCUCUCUCUCUCUCUCUCUCUCUCUCUCUCUCUCUCUCUCUCUCUCUCUCUCUCCCUCUGUGAUCUAGUCCUUGCCCCUCUCUACCCACACCACAACUUGUCUCCAUGCCUCCCGUUCCCUCUGUAACUCCUAUAUCCUAUGUCUUCCUCUUCCAUUUCAGCUCCCCUGCCUUUCAGGAUCACUAAAUGCAGCACACUCCUGCCUCCAGAAACAUCCUGUUUCUGGAUGCUGCUUGGUUUUCUUUUGUAUUUCCCCUUAUCUUCAAAUAAAGAUUGUCGGAUACCUUCCUCCAAUCUCCUUUAAACCCAUGUCUCCAUUCACUCUUCCGUGGGAAGCCCUACUUCUCCCCCUGAAUCUAUACAUUUUUAUCACCUUCUUUCGAAAUCUCUAUUUCCUUUCUUUACUGUUAUUGAUAGGCUUCCCUUACUCCCCAAAAUACAUACUUCAUAUGGAGAGAGAGAGAGAGAGAGAGAGAGAGAGAGAGAGAGAGAGAGAGAGAGAGACUGUACAUGCAUGUGUGUUCUGUUCAAUCCCUAGAGACUAAAAACAAGUCUGGUAUGUGGAAAACAUACAAGUAAUUAUAAAACACACCAAUGAGUGCUGCCAUAGCACUGUUAUUGCCAUUUACCCUACAAGAACAGUGAAGUAACAAGUCCACCUUUCCCACAAUGCUCAGCUUAUUUUAAGGACAAAUAAAUAACAAUCUUCUCUCCAAUCUCCUGUGUACCUUAACCCUACCUGACUAAUCACCCUUGUACUUUAAUGCUAAUUCACAACUAUAAAGCUGGUUACUGUGUAAGAAACAACUAAGAGGAAGCUUAUCUGAGAUCGUAAUAUCAAACAAACAGCAAAAGGCAGAAACUAGAAACUCAGAAAUCUAUGCUACCCCCAUAUGCUAGACAGACACAGAAAGUUCCGCUCCAGCUGGACAUGGAGGCACAUGCCUAUGAUCCCAGCAUUUAGGAAGCCCAGACAGGAUGAUCAUGGUGAGUUCAAGGUCAGUCUGGGCUACAUAAUGAGACCCUGUAUCAAGCAACAGUGAGGAUAGUCAAGAAGACAGAAAGUCAGAAAAACGGGAAGACAGAAAGGAAGAAAGGAAGGAAGGAGGAAGAACUAAGAAAGAGCUCCUCUCUAAUUGCUGAUGGAUGAUCACCAUGGAUCUUCAGUGGUCCAGAAUGCUACUUCUACCCAGAAGUGCCACUUUAGAUAGAAUUUUUCCAGAUAGAAAUAUAUAUAAUGUAUGAUACGUAAUGAGUGAGAGACUAUGCGUAGAGUUUCAUUGGCAGAGAGUUCUCCUAGUGUGUAUGAAAUCCUGUGCUUGAUUCACACCACCACUUAAGAGCACUGUGGUACUGAAACUUUUGGUACAGAGUGCUCAAGGCCUGUCUGGGAUCCAUGAGGAGGAGGAGGAGGGAAAGAAGGGAGAGGAGGAUAAGGAGGAAGAGAAGGAAGGAAGCACGUCUAUCAGGCAAGGAAGUCUAUCAGGGCCAGGUAAUUUCUAUUUCCAUUCUGACUAAAAACCUAUGUGAAAAACACCUGCAAACUCACACAUGGCUCCUGAGACAGUAUGUCCCUGUUUAACACUGACCCUUUAAAAAGUACCUUUUCAUUGUGAACAGAUAUAGGCUUAUGUGAGACUAAGAAGCAAACGGGGAGCCCAGGAUUUUGUAACUGAAUUGUGUGGUGUGAAUCUGAGGUUUGUGUUUACGAGAUCCUGAUAAGCUGCCACUAGUGUGCCUAUCUAUUUGGCAAGGUCCUACCCCCUGAUGUUAGGAUCAGGCCAUGUCAGAAAGGCCUUCCUCACAGACAUUGGAAGCCCCAUCCUGUAGGUGCAGCCAGGUGAAAACCAAGCCAUUUCAAACUCAGUGCUCAGAGAGCGCUGGGUGAUCAAAUCCAAUUUCCAAGGUACCUAGAUAGCUUUAUCAAAUACAGUACAGUGUAAAAAAAAAUCCACUUCAAACAAUGCAAACGCUCAGCCCCCACAACUAGUGAGAAGUAUGACAAAAAGCAGGUCCUAGCUAAAACACUCUUGGGGAACAUUCAGAUCUCAAGGAUUUAGCCUUAAGGAAUUUUCAAAAGCAGGGGUAGGGCUAAACCAUUUCACCUGAGCAAAUGGUGGUGUUCUUUUAAUGGAGCUUUCAGAUGAUUAGAGUCAGCUCAAAACUUUGGACUCUAUCAUAUCUGCAUCCACAGCUUUCUGACACAUGAAAUUGAAAAAAGUUCCUUAACUUUCUGAUGCCUCAGUUUUCCUACCUGCACAAUGGACAAGACAAAAUAUAUUCUGCGGGAUUAUAUGAGGACUAUCAGUUGUGGGUAUAGUACACAUGAUCUGGACCAUGGCCCAUAGCACAGAGCCAAAAAUGUUGGGAGUCUUGGCUAUUAUUUCUCCAUCCCAGUCAAAACCAUCUGGCCAACUAUAGAUGGGUACCGAGUUUAGAAGUAAGACAGCCAAUGAGAUACCAACUGGAGACUGUUCAGGACUACACUGAGUCAAGCAGGUAUGAUUUUUUUUUUAAGAAGUGGCUUGUGGGUUUUAGGGAAAAUCUGGACAUGUUAAAUCCUUAACCUAGAAUUACUGGCAAGGUUAUAUAUGUAUUCAGAGGUCAAAAUUCUAAUAUUUGAAACAAAUUCAAUUUAUUUAUUUAUUUAUUAUUCAUUCAUUCAUUCAUUUAUUUAUUUGAGACAUGAUCACAUGCAUCCCCUAGACCUGCCUUUAACUUACUAUGUAGCUGAGGAUAACCUUAAGUUCUUGACCCUCCUGUGUCUACCUGAUGACUGUUGAGAUUGUAGGAAUGUGCCACUCUGGCCAGUUCAUGUAUAUCAGGAUUGGAGCACGGGGCUCCCUCUAUACAUGCUAGGCACUACGCACUGAGCUGUUUCCCCAGGCCUUGUAGCUUUAAUUUAAAGAGCCUUUGAGAUAGGUAGUCCAUUAAUAACUUUAGGUUCAAUUUAAUUAUAGAAAAUGGCACCCAUUAUCUCAUGGAGAGCCAAGUGCAAAUGACCUGCUUUCAGUCAGGUUUUCUGCAAUCUUCCAGCACCUAGUUUAAAUUUGGAGUGGGAGGUGCAGUGUUCCACGGUAAGUCCUGCUAUGCUAUUUCUUAGGCUAAUGGUAGUCUCUUGGGAUUAUUUCAUUUGCUUUUUCAUCCCUACCAACAGAGCACUCUAGCAUCACAACUUCAGCACCACUUGGGCAGGGUUUUCAUACACAGAACUUGGCUGAGAACAGAGGCAAAAUAUGGCCCAACAGAAAAGUACAAAUUAACUUAAAACAUAGGGGAAUUUGUGUGUGUGUGUGCGUGUGUGCGUGUGUGUGUGUGUGUGUGUGUGUGUGUGUGUGGUGAGAGAGAGAGAUUAUUUUUAUGAACUUAUUUUUAGUUUUUUUGCUAUGUGUAUGUAUGUUUAUGUAAAUGUGUGCCACCUGUUUUCAGGUUACCAUGGAGACUACAUGGGUGUUGGAGCCCCCCAAAGCUGGAGUUACAGGAAGUUGUGAGCUGCUUGACUUGGGUGCUCAGAAAUCAAACUUGGGGCCUCUAAAAAGCAGCAAGUGCUCUUAACCACAGAGACAUCUUCUCAUCUCCUUUGAUAUUUUUGUAAUUGCAUUUGUACAAUUAUUAAGUAUGAACUAUGCAGUUAUCAAUGCCAAGAUACAGUGUCAAACUGUAGGCAUCUGAGAGUCUAGAGCGUCGGUCAUGUUUAUGAGUUUAUUGAAAGAGAAGAAACAAGAUUCAUUUUUUCUUUUGGAUCCAAGAUGUAUGUCAUCUACAAUGUUCUCUGCGCAUAUGAUCUCAGACCUUUCCAUUCUGAGUAUAUUUGUCAUAUUUGUGGCAUGGGAUUGGACUGGUAGGUAGAGAUAUAAUUUGUCGGCUGCUAAAGCAGUAAUGAUUUGCAAAGAGAAAAAACAAUGUUGGUUUGGAGGAGUGGAACUCAGAAACCCUCAGAAAUUCCUGUUCAGGAGAGCCAAAUCAACACAUCUGGAAGAGCUGGCUCCAUGAAUAGUUUCUUCCAAUGGGUUAAAAAAUAGCAGAGAAACAACCAAUGUCCCAAGGUCAUAAAUCAGUGAGAACUAUGCAAAACAACCCCUCUUUUCCCAGAGAAGAGAAAGAGAAUAACUGUAUAACUUCAAAGACUUUAUUGACCUAAAAGUAAAGAUUUGGUAUCAAAUAUAUUUUUGGAAAUGCUGAGCAUCACUGACCCAAUGCUCAUAAAAAUAUGAAAAGCCAAAUUCUGCAAGGAGAAAUCAAUAAGCUUAAAGGGCAUCUUACUUUGUCAUCCUCACCCAGAUCAUCAUUUGGUGAUGUCUGAAGACAUUUUCCAUUAUCACGAUAUAAGGGUAUGCUAUAGGCACCAGGUAGGUAGGGGCCAAGGAAGCUAAGAAGCACUCUACAAUGUCCAGGAUGAUGCUACACAGAAUGGAGUUCUGGGGUCGCAAGUGUCAUGUUUCAGAAAGUCUGAUUCAUACUUAUUUACAGUAUAGAGAUUGUACUGCUGUCUUAGUUCCUAAUCAGAAUUGUGCUCCCCAUUUCCCAGACAAAUGCUCAACAGAAUGAAUUAUACUUUUGAACAAGUUUCCCAAACUACAACCAACAUAUUCAAACAUGACACACAGACCCACCAGUUGCUAGGGGGUGUUGGACUCGUACCCAGGGGCAGAGUUUUACUAUUGAUGAAACAUCUGAUGAAUAAGAAUCAAAUAGGAACUAUAUCCAAUGUCCUGAAAUGCUGAGGAAUAUUCCUAUCUACACCAUCACUAUUUUGUUUAUGAAGGCCAUCACUCAAGCCAGAAUUUCCAUGUGAAAUUCAGCUCACCAUACUGGGCCACGUUAGUACAUUUACACUACCCCACCUCCACCCAGUGCACCCCACCUCUGGGAUAAGUGACACUCCUUGUUGGUUUGCGAAUUCACAUUCUGGCUAGACAAUCUACUUUCUGGAGCCUUCUGCUCCCGGCUUAUCUUUGCCGACCUUGUUGGGAGUUGACAGAUAUGGAAGGUAUCCUAGGAUCUCAGAAUUGUAUUUAACAACAACGUCACACCCUCUCAACGGGAAUGACUCCAUUUUAACCAGACCUUCUAACUUUAGCAUCUUUUGAGACACUGGGUGAGGUAAAAUUCUCAGGUUGGGCUACCCUGUCUUUGAUGCAUCCUCUUUCCUCCUUUCAACUGUCUGAUGCCUGGAGAACCUCCACUCCCACCUCCACUCACGGAAGUCACUACCAGAAGUGUCUCCAGACUGAUUAAAGGUUCAUUAAGGGAUAAAAUUGCCCACAAGUGAGAAUCACCAAUUCAUCCUUAGGCUCCAGGAAAGUCCUUCAAGUUUCGGAAGUGACUUGAUUUGAAUGCAUGUUGAGGGGGCAGGGCACAUAAUCUUCCUGAUAAAUGGAAGUUGUGGACUCAUGCGGAUUUCAUUUCUGCAAAGUUAGGGUUUGGGCUGAUAAGUUGGGGAGCCUUGCUCUAUAGAGAGUGUGUCAUGUGGGUCGUGAAAUCCCUUACACCACAUUUCACAGGAUUUCAAUUACAGCCAACAAGCUCUAGGGGACAGAGCUCCUCCCUGACACCAGCAGGUCACUGGCCACCUAAGGGGUUCUUAGAUAGGUCAGAGCUGAUUCAAAGGAAGAAGGGAACAUGGCUUCAUCAGUGUCCUGCAUGCAGAACUGCAGAAACAGGUAAGCUGGCUGGGUGAGGGGGUUUGACUAAGUUCAAAGAAAACAAACAGCACACGGUUUUGGAAAAAGUCUCUGGCUUUCCAAGUUUAGACUUUGGGCAGGGGCAGGUUAAAGGCAGGGUGUUGCUAUUUAUUAGAAUUUGAGAGCAGGGACUGUAUUGAAAGAAAGCUGGGAUUUCCUUGGGGAAGGGAGGCAUAAAAGGCACAAUUUUCAGAUACCCAGAAGCUUUUUAUUUCAAUUACACGGGCCGGGGGGAACCAUGCAGGAAGAGAGAGACCAGGAAAGAGAAAACUAAGAAGGUGAGCAGAUUCUAUCCCGGGUGGUAGGGAGGGAGUAACAUCCCUUAUUUCUGUCAUUACAGGGCCAAAGUGGGAUUACAAACAGCUCCCUAAAGCUUAUCCAAAAUUUCAAAGGCUUGAAAUAAACCCAGAUCUACUCUUUUCUUCCCUGUGAAGGAACAUGCAGUCUGAACAUAUUUACUUAAAUAAGUGUUUAAGAAUAACAUGUUUUGUAAAAUUGCAAAUAUACAUAAAAAUUAUAAUCCUUAUUACGUUCUCUCUAGAGUGCUCGAACCAACAAUAUUAACACACGCACACACACACACACAAAACACACACACACACAAAACACACACACACACACACACACACACACACACACACACACAUCCAUCUCUUCAUUUACAACCUUCCAACUAUGUGUUAGCUUCUCCUUGCCUGGAGACAGGCCAGCAUUAUUUCCUCUUUUCCUGAUCAAUGAAGAUAUCAGGUCACUUCUGAAUGACUGGGAGUCUUGACUUUUUUUAUUUGACUUAUUUAUUUAGGUCUGAGAUGCUUGGAAGUGGCUGGGGGCUUGGGGAGGAUUACUUUAGUCUUGUUCUAAAGCUUAGGUGCUCUGAGAAGGAGUAUAAGACUGGUAAGUACUUCUUGAUCACAGCCCACCUUCAGAAAGAGAAUUGGUAGCUUCGUGGAAUGCUUUUGCAUGUAUUUCAACUGUGUGUGUGUGUGUGUGUGUGUGUGUGUGUGUGUGUGUGUUGGGGGGAUUGUUUUCAGUUUGAGGCAUGACUGUGAAUGGACCCAUCCAGGUUUUCUUAACUCUGCAAAGGAUGAUGAGGUUUGCCAAGACCAAGGCCAACAAUGGAGAUGAAGAAAAAGAGGCCACCACAGCUUCUGGAGUCUUCUAAAGUGUCUUUGAAAUGGAGUCGGCAAAGCUAAUCUGCUCAGUGUCACUCACCCACGGUGUUCAGUGACUAUGAAAAGCUGUCUCCUUAAAGCUUCCGCUUCAAAGAGACAAUGAUCUCUUGGAAUUCCAGAAUCUACAAGGUGGAUACCUGGUGCUCUUCGUUUUCGCCCUUUCCCUAAAGGCACUAGUCAGGUCUUGCACUUCCAAGCCACUGCACACGUAAACAUCUCUCUCCUUACACGAACUUCCUGCCACUAUGAACUUGAACUCUGAGCGGAAGGAGAGGAGUUUGUUGUAACAGCUGCGUUUGCGAAGAAAGGCUGGGGUUAGUCCUCCCGGGGACAGCUGGUUCUGAGAGUCUGUCUUUCCACCAUCCUGCUUUUCUCUCAUGCCCAGCUGUGGCCAGCUGACAUUUUGUAAAACAAAGCACAAACCACCAGAAGGGCAAGAGAAUGCUAAUUAUUGGGGCCAUACUCUACUACACAGGGACCUCUCAGCGCUGAAACAAAAGUAGUCUGGGCGUUUACUUUGUUAAACUUGGUUUUUGACUAGUUUAUAGCUGUAUUUGUUACUAGAAUCCAAAUAGUCCAUUUGGUAGUCACCAGCAACAGGAAGUUUAGAAAAGUUUGGGGUAACUAUGGUUAAAAGUGUUAAAUUAAUACCUUCGAAGAUGUAACUUCUUGCCUCUUAUUUAUACUGUGUUUUGUUUCGGGUGGUAUGGGGAUAGAGUUUCCGGUCUGGUACUUGCUAGUAAAUGCCUUACCACUGAGCUGUAUAUACCCCUAACUGCUUUCUAACCCUUUGAAAGGACUUUUGGGACAGGGUGUGGCUAAGCUGCCCAAGCUGAUUUAUUUGGUCGCCUAGGCCAAGGCUUGGGAUUCUACCUCCUCAGGCGGCCUCGUUGCUGGCAUUAUAGGUCUGUGCCACCAGGUCCACUUUAUGUGUCUAGUGUUGGUAGCAUGCUACUAGCGACUUCCAUAUCGGAAGACAGGAGUACAAAAUAUUUCCCUCAGUGUAGGAUGUUGUCAGCCUCUGGAUCAAGGCAUAAAGUGUUUCACAGAAGAGCCGUGGGAUGCAGACGAAGACAGAUGAUGGAGUGUGGACUAACCUGAUGUGCGUUAAUCUUGCUUACUACCAACUGCACACGUUUAUUUAGCUGCCAGUUUUCUAUUUUAUAAACUUCUAGAAGUUUUGGUUUUAAAGCUGUUUUAACAAUCCCACUUCAAGGGAAAUGGAGAAGACACAGGGAAGGCAGUGAUCAUCCCCACAUCACAGGUCUUUUUAUUGGCCUCUAUUAAAUAACAAAGGGGGAAUGUGCUCUUGGAUCACAAUUUCCCCAGGAGAAGCCUCUGGGUCCCAGCAAGGAGGAGGCAGAAAGCCGGUCCUCCAUUGAUUGUGGGCCUCAGACCAAUCAACCACAUUUGGGAUAAACUAUGUGUAGUUUGUAGGGCAGGGCUUUAAAAACAAAUAAACGAACAAAAAACACA